UCGGCGGUCCAAAGACCACAACAGAUCCUUCUUCAAAUUUCCGUUAUCUAAUCCUGAAUUAUGCAAAAAAUGGAUUGGAAAAAUGAAGUGUGACAAAUGAACUCCAACAAAGGCUUCAUCAUUGUGCUCAGACCACUUUGUGGAAACAUGUUUUCGUAAACAUGAAGUAAAUUCAU